rnacentral:rRNA from 1 species
UACGAAGGGGGCUAGCGUUGCUCGGAUUGACUGGGCGUAAAGGGCUCGUAGGCGGCCAACUAAGUCGGAUGUGAAAUCCCCAGGCUCAACUUGGGAACUGCAUCCGAUACUGGAUGGCUUGAAUUCGGGAGAGGGAUGCAGAAUUCCAGGUGUAGCGGUGAAAUGCGUAGAUAUCUGGAGGAACACCGGUGGCGAAGGCGGCGUCCUGGACCAACACUGACACUGAGGAGCGAAAGCCAGGGGAGCAAACAGG